ACUGACCGUCCCAGCAUACACCGCGCGAAGGGAUUAACACAGAGACGGAAAUACCUGUCAGUGUUUUUGUUUUUCGUUUUAACGGAUUAAAUUGCAAGAGCCAAAGAUUACAGAAGACUAUUCAAAAACAAAAAUAUAGAAAAGAACAAAAACAGGGUUCAAGGAAGACAACCGAAUACUCUCAUAACCCUGGCGGCCCACGAGAGUUGAGGAUAUAAGCACAUCACAAUGGCAAACGCAAAGGCAGGGAUUAGCCGGGGCGUAGGCACAGUUUCCUCACAUACAAUAAAUCAAAGUGACACAACAGAAAAUCAAAGUGACACAACAAAAAGUCAAAGUGACACACCUAAACGUUCAGAAUACGCAACUGACCAGCAAAGGCUAGAGACAUAUAAGGAAUGGCCUCCAAAUCACCCCAUAAGGCCUGAGAGACUCGCUAGAGCCGGAUUCUGGUACAUAGAACAAGGUGACCGUGUCAGAUGUUUUCACUGUGGAGGGGGACUGAAAGAAUUUGAGCCUACCGAUGAUCCUGUAGCGGAGCAUAAACGGAUAUUUCCUUAUUGUGAUUUUAUAAACAAUCUAUCUGUUCAUUCGAAUACUUAGCCGUCCAGAAAGGCGAUAUUUUUAAAAAAUAUUUUUAAAACGCGGUUUUCAACGGAUGUACACACUCAUACAAAUAUUAUUUCAUGAACAUUUAUAGAUUUAAAAGUUAGUGAAAAAUUCAAAUCUUUGCGUAGUAAUUAGGUGACUCCAUAGUGCCAAUGAGGCGCUACCUUUUUAGUCUUAGCGAUAUCACAUUUGAAACUAAGGUUAUAACAAUAAAUCGUAUCGUAGACGUGUGUUUGGUGAUUUAAAAACAUAAUUAGAAACUUGGAGCAGGUAUACACGUUGUCAACAGCUGUGAAAAAUAACAAUGUCAAUGAACUGAAAAAGCAAUGAAAGCACAUUCAACACAUUAUAAUUAACUACUACUGUCAAAGAAUGACGAUGACAGUCUAUUUUUUUUUAUAUUAUCUACUGAAAAUAAAUAUUAUUGAGAGUAAAAGUAAGUUAACUUAACCCAUGCGACCCAGACGAUUCAUAAAGCAGAUAAAGUAGAAUUCAUCUGUUUCUGUGACUUGUCCUGUAAUGGGAUAUAAUACUGUCAACAUCAUGCCCAUUCGCCUUUACUUUCCCUAACCCAAGUCAGAUACCCAUCAGUAAUGUGAGGACUCAGUGACGUUAUACGGAGUUGAAUCUGGGAUCAAAACCCUAGAAUUUGAGGAAAGCAAUAAAUUAAUAUAUAUACAUAUUUAUGUAUAUAAUAUACAAUAUAAUAAACAUAACACCACAUAAUGGGCUGUACAUAAACAUAUAGAUGGAAACGUGACAAUAAUUAUGUUACAAAUGUGAAUAUAUUAAAAUAAAUAUAGUACAAUUUAGUUAAAUAGUAAAUAUUAAAACAAAAAGAAAUUGUUCAAAUAGAAACAAUAAUGAAUUGAGUCAGUGGCGUAGCGAGGGGGGGGGGGGAUGCGGACCACACCGGAUGACACCAUUUAGGGGGUGACACCAAGGCAAAAAAUAACAAAAUAUAUAGAGAUAAAUGAUAAUUCCACUUAAUUAAGUGAUUAAUUCGAGUGUUAAAAAGUCUUUUAACAGCAAAUUUGACAAA